GCCCGUGCCGUGGCCCGUGAGACGUGAGACUCUAGAACAGUAGGACCCCAUCUCCUCGAACCUCGACCUCCUUUAUCCGACGACGUUUCCGUUGCGUUCAGAUCUUUUGCCCCUCGUUUUCAAUCUCUCCCGAUCUCAAUCUUCGGUAACCGUUGUCCUUUUUUUCCCCCUCAUUUGCCCUAAGUCAGGAGCAGUCAAUAUAACAUCGUACGCAUCGUAAGGCUUCCCAUUUUGGUUUAACUCGUUAGGUUUAAUUAUUUCGAUUGCAUUGCACUGAUUGUUGUGUGUUUUGGGGAAUUUGGGUUGCUGUAUUGAUUACUGAAGAAUUUUUCAGGCCAGUAUGGUCAUGAGCUGUUCUUUUGAUAGUGUUAUGAGUUGUUAGGUUUCUCAGUUCCACUGUCUUAGCAUGAUUACGCAACCUUUAUGAAUAAUUUUUGUUUUCAGUUUGAAUUUGAGCCUAUAUUUGCAUGUAGUGUUGCAUAUGAAGGUAGCUUGAAAAAUCUUAUGUUAGAUGGUUUGUGUCAAAUUAGAUCAAUCAAGAAUGACAAGUGUGGGAUUAGUUUAAAUGCAACUCAAAUUAGUUUUGAGUGGGAAAGUUAGAUUGUUAUAGAUUGUAGAAUUGAACAUUUCUUGGACUAGCUUGAAUAGAACCUGAAUUGUCUUCAUGUAGUGGAAAAUAAAAGACCGGUGGUAAUAACCAAUCAGCAUAUUCAACCUAUGUUGCUUGGUUGUGCUUUAAUUGCCGAUGAAACUUUUUAUAUUUACGUUUGGUUGAUGCAAACAUGGUUUAUGGCAAUGGGAUAAUGAGCUCCACGGGUUAUACUGACUGAUAAAAACAAUGCCAUAAAAACGAUAUUGUAUCUGCUCGUGGCACAUAUUGGAAAUGAUCCCUAGGCAAAUCGAGUACUUGAGUCUGGCAUGAUAGCUUCAUGUUAAAAUUUAACAAAUGUAUAUUUAAUUCAUGGACAGAGGAACUAUUGAAAAGAGGUGAUGAAAAUUGCUUGACAAAUUUCAUCUUAGAGAGUAGAAUGGAUUCACUCAGUGUACGAAGACCGCAGAUGUUGGGUUCGUAUUUUCAUGAGAGAUGUAUCUUUUGCUGGAUUGUCUACAACAUCAUGUGCUGAAAGUUUGACCUCCUGGUUUGACAAAUAUGUGCAUGGGGAAACAUCAUCGAGAGAGUUCAUAGAACAAAACCAGGUAAUUCUCAAAGAUAGGUAUGAAGAGGAAGCCAAAGCAGAUUUUGAUGCUUGGCAUGAAACGCCUGAGCUCAAGUCCCCAUCACCUUUUGAGAAAGAAAUGUCACACAUGAAAUAUUCAGGAAAUUUCAAGUUGAAGUUUUGGGAGUACCUGCUUGUCAUCUUAAGAAAGAAAAUGAGGACGAGAUAUCCACAACGUAUAGUGUGAAGGACUUUGACAAAUAUGUGCAUGGGGAAACAUCAUUGAGAGAGUUCAUAGAACAAAACCAGGUAAUUCUCAAAGAUAGGUAUGAAGAGGAAGCCAAAGCAGAUUUUGAUGCUUGGCAUGAAACGCCUGAGCUCAAGUCCCCAUCACCUUUUGAGAAAGAAAUGUCACACAUGAAAUAUUCAGGAAAUUUCAAGUUGAAGUUUUGGGAGUACCUGCUUGUCAUCUUAAGAAAGAAAAUGAGGACGAGAUAUCCACAACUUAUAGUGUGAAGGACUUUGAAAACAAUCAGGAUUAUAUGGUGGAAUGGAAUGAAUCGAAGUCUGACAUUUAUUGUUCUUGCCGUUUAUUUGAAUGUAGAGGUUAUCUUUGCAGACAUGCUAUUGUUGUUCUCCAAAUGUUUGGAAUAUUAAGCAUCCCAUCUAAACAUGUUUUGUAUCGAUGGGCUAAUUGUGCUAUGAGCAGAGAUGCCAUUGGUGAAAAAUUGGAUGAGGUGCAAUCUAAGGUCCGACUUAUAAUGAUUUAUGUCUAAGAGCCAUGAUAUUGGAUGAAGAGGAUUCUCUGUCAACCUACCACAUCAGAGCUUCAUGCCUUUUCUGGUGUUGAUGAAGAGAAUCAAUUUAGCAACAUAUCAAUACCGGAUCCUGUCUGAUACAAAUAAAGCUCCAAAGCGACCUUAGGGUCAGCAGAAGGAAGGCAAUGAAAAUGAUUAGGCUAGAAGAGAACAGGUCAAACAUGUUGGUUCUCUCUCUUUCUCUCUCUGCCUCACCUCUUCUUUGUGGAACGGGUUUGGCUACAAUCUUCAUUUAUCAGGUGGUGGUGUUGUUUUCAUUUGAUGCUGUUUGCCUCAUGUACUACAGGUAUCUCUGCUAGGAACUGUGAGUACUGUGGCUAAAGAUGGCUUUCACCAAAUGGAAACCUCUGACAUGAAGCCUAUAUUGUUGCCUAAUGUGAUGCCGGCCCAAUUUCACAAUAUGAUGUUGAUGAUGUUUCAUAAUGUCACUUCAGCUCAGUUUCAUAAUGUGCCUCCAACAAAUUUGCAUGGGAAUCGACCGCCUCUUUAGAUUGACUUUCAGCUUCGUUUGUAAAAAUUUUGUAGACCUGAACUGUUACAGGACCAUAAGAGAAGUACCUAACUAGUUGCAUAGUUGCAGGUUCUACCAUGUUAGGUACAUGAAUGUCCAUUGCGCAGUUCUCAGAAUUUGGGAUUCUUUCGCCCCCCUGCACCCAAAGAAUCAACAGGAGAGAGUAACGAUUCUCCUUGUUAUGCUCCAUGUCUUGCGCAUUGCACGUGAUCCGUUCCCCAGUAUCUGGAUUCUGGCACAACAUGGAACAUAUAUAGUCCAUGAUAUCAAUAGUACAAAGGAGCUAGUGACCAUUAAUGUGUUCAGGACAUUUGGGCAGAAUCAUAUGAAUGGACCGUGGAGCGGUGGAGGGUCAUGGAGACGGUAGUGGUUGGUGUGGUGGGCUCUAAAGGUGGUUUCAUAAUUGCCACUACAGUGCUACACAAUCGCAACAAUAAUGGUAUUCGAGGUCGGCUACAUGAAGAUAUAUACACUAGACAGCUGUCAGAUUUCAUACAAAAUCAAAUGAUUUCUCUGGUCCCAAGAAGUCCAGAGAUGAAAUCUAGUUGAUUGGAUGAGGUUGUAUAAGUUGUAACCACUGGCUUUGUCCGGGUUGUCCGAAACUUCCACUUAAUUAAUUUGCCCCUAAUGUUAUUAAUCAGAAUCUUAUUGUCAGUUAAGCAACCAAUUGUGGCUCGCUCCUUUUGGGAAGAAGUAUAUGCUACUAUAUGCUAUUUCAGUAACCAAACGGUUGUUUGAAUAGCAUUUGAAGAAUUAUAAAGGUGGUAACAAUAAUUUUACGGAUUCA